GGCUUGUAACUCCGUGGUAGAGUGCUUGCCUCGCAUGCAUGAGGCACUGGGUUCAAUCCUCAGCACCA
rnacentral:tRNA from 1 species